GCGUUGUUGGUCUAGUGGUUAGGAUUAUCGCCUUCCAUUCCGAUUGUGAGCGAUAGGGCGGGGUUCGAUUCCCCGACAACGCA